rnacentral:rRNA from 1 species
UAAGGAAUAUUGCGCAAUGGGCGAAAGCCUGACCCAGCAACGCCGCGUGAAGGAUGAAGUAUUUCGGUAUGUAAACUUCGUAAGAAUAGGAAGAAUAAAUGACGGUACUAUUUGUAAGGUCCGGCUAACUACGUGCCAGCAGCCGCGGUAAUACGUAGGGACCAAGCGUUGUUCGGAUUUACUGGGCGUAAAGGGCGCGUAGGCGGCGUGACAAGUCACUUGUGAAAUCUCCGGGCUUAACUCGGAACUGCCAAGUGAUACUGUCGUGCUAGAGUGCAGAAGGGGCAAUCGGAAUUCUUGGUGUAGCGGUGAAAUGCGUAGAUAUCAAGAGGAACACCUGAGGUGAAGACGGGUUGCUGGGCUGACACUGACGCUGAGGCGCGAAAGCUAGGGGAGCAAACGGGAUUAGAUACCCCGGUAUCCCUGAGCGGGCUGGCAAGGCGCAU